rnacentral:rRNA from 1 species
UACAUGUGGGGCAAGCGUUGUUCGGAAUUACUGGGCAUAAAGGGUGCGUAGGUGGUUUGGUAAGUCAGUGGUGAAAUCGUCCGGCCCAACUGGACACGUGCCAAUGAUACUGCCGAACUCGAGUGCGUGAGGGGUGGGGGGAACGAGCAGUGUAGCGGUGAAAUGCGUAGAUAUUGCUCGGAAGGCCAAAGCCGAAGGGACCCCACUGGUACGUAACUGACACUGAGGCACGAAAGCGUGGGGAGCAAACAGG